AAAAAAAAAAAAAAAAAGGUAUAACUUUUAGUAAAAAUGUCGAAGAAGAUACUGAGAAUGAACCAUUUACAGAUAGUGAUACAAAUAUGCAAAAGGAAACACAUCACAGCGAAACAGAUACAGAUACAGAAAACAAAGAAGAUAAGCUUAGUAAAACGGAUUCGGAAAACGAAAGUGAUUUAGAUACUGAAACAGAUACGGAAACAAAAAAGAUAAAUCAGAUGAUGAAUCUGGUGGGGAAUAUAUUAGUAGCGGAAAUAACAGUUCUAAUAAUAAAAGUGGAAAUAAAAAAAAAUGGAAAUUAUGAAAAUUAUGAAUGUGGUAAUAAUGAUACAGAAACUAAUAAUGAUGAUAAAUAUGACAAUAAAAAUAUGGCGAGGGGAAAUAAAAAUAAUUAUAAUAAACAAAGUGAAAUAAAAAAAUAAUAUACAUUUAUUGAGAGGAGCAAGAACAAAAAAAAAACGAAUGAAAAAAAAAUAUAAAAACCAAGUGGUAGAUGAGCAGGAAAGACAACUUCAUAUGAAAAUAAUUGGAUCUAAAAAGAUGAAACACGAAGAUAAGAUAUUAGAAAAGGAAGAACAAAAUAAGAAUGGACCAGAGACAAAUAACAAAUUUAAGAAUCCCAAGACAGUUCUUAUUAAUUUGGAAGAAAUAAAUGAAGAUGAAAUGGAUAUAAAAAUGAGUGAAUUAAACAAAUUAACAUGUUCACCUAAAGAAGGAGAUAAUCUGUUAUUUGCCAUCCCAAUGUGUGCACCAUAUUCUGCUAUUCAAAAUCAUAAAUAUAAAGUAAAAAUAAUUCCUGGAACUGCGAAAAAAGGGAAAGUUGCUGAUUGUUGUGUUGCUCACUUUUUAAAAAUUUCAAAUGAUGAUAAGGAAAAGGAUUUAAUUAAAAAGAUAUCGAUGGAUGAACUAGUAAAUUGUAUCAUCUCAAAUUCAACUGCAGACAUAAAAGAACUGAAAAUUGCUGCUAAAUCGAAUUUUAUGCAUAAAAGCAAAAAAAAACAAAAAUAUUAAAUAACUAGGCACGAUGAGUUUUUAUACGUGACUUUUUUUUUUGUCGUAUGCUUUUUAUAGGAUUUAUAAUAAAACAUUUUGUAUAUAUACA
rnacentral:lncRNA from 1 species